GGAUUCACAAAACGAACAGAUCCAGAU
rnacentral:piRNA from 1 species